GAGCGAGGACGACCUCCGCCCCGUCCGGGGCCUGAAAGAUCGGGACGACCCGA
rnacentral:ncRNA from 1 species